GUUUGGGCGCGCGUGCACGCGCACGUGCGCACACACACACACACACACACACACACACACACACACACACAUACACACACACACACA
rnacentral:miRNA from 1 species